rnacentral:misc_RNA from 1 species
GAUGAAGAACGCAGCGAAAUGCGAUACGUAGUGUGAAUUGCAGAAUUCAGUGAAUCAUCGAAUCUUUGAACGCACAUUGCGCCCCCUGGUAUUCCGGGGGGCAUGCCUGUUCGAGCGUCAUUACAACCCUCAAGCUCUGCUUGGUAUUGGGCCCCGCCAGUUCUGGCGGGCCCUAAAGUCAGUGGCGGUGCCUUCCGGCUCCGAGCGUAGUAAUUCUUCUAGCUCUGGAGACCCGGUUGUGUGCUUGCCAACAACCCCCAAUUUUUUAAGGUUGACCUCGGAUCAGGUAGGGAUACCCGCUGAACUUAAGCAUAUCAAUAAGCGGAGGA